GUAUUAUCUAUUUAUUUUUCCUUUCCACACUAGUCGGACUGGCCAGAGGGCUUCAACCUGGCUACUUCAUUGAACUUUUGCUUACCAAAGUGCGUCUCCACUAGCCUUAGAUGUCUGGUGCCCAAUGCCUGCCAUGAAGGCAUCACUCUCAUGAAGAACAUGCUGCAAUGGGACCCUUGCAAAAGGCCAUCUGCUAGCCAGGUAACAUUGGAAAACAACUUAUUGGGUCGGGAUCACAUAGAAUUAAAAAGGAUUAUGCUGGCGUGACUUAUUACUUGCAAACGACAUCUCCAUAGAUAAACCAUGAAUGUUUUGCUCCAUAAUAUUGUCUGUAUAGUCAAUCAUUUGACAGAUGGUGAAGUCACGAUUGGUUGUUACUUUUAGUAGGAAAAGAUCAUCAAACAAAAAAAAGAACAACAAAACAAAAUGUCUCUGGAUAUACGGUAUUCAUGCUUCAACUUGACAUGGAUACCAUGUCUAAACUCCCCAUGCUCUGCGGCACCCCUACUUCCACGUGGGCCACGGGCUGGGCCCUCCUUCCAGGUACCUGGAGAAGCACCAGGCCCAUGCUAAGGCCCGAAAGCCUCUGUCUCUCUGUGAGGACCAUCUCCAUCUACCAGCACUCUGUGAGAAGCAGACCCACCCGGCCCAGGACUGGUUAACCCUUCUGACCGGCAAGGACCACGGCUGUCCCAUGGCUGCACACUCCUCACUCCUCACACCUCCUUUAGCUUCAACCGCUAAGCCUGGGAACAACCAGCCAAUCAGUGAGCUCAUUUGGUCCUAGUUGCCAUCGUCAAUGAUUUUGGGAUGUACCUUUGUCUUCCAAUGCAAGUAUUCUUCUGUUUUCUGAAUAUUUUUUAAUGUAUUUUCAGUGGUUAAAUCAUAAAUUAUCAAAUGCAAUAUUAACUAUGAAAUCCCAUACAUUAAAAUAAGGUAAUACUCCCAUUUUUAUAUGGAAUAAAAAUGGGAUUUCUAUGGGACUGCUCAACAGGUAUGGAAGAAGCAGAGGAAUGGACCAAGAAGCGGGUGCAGGCUUCAGGGAGGGACAUCGGUCCAAGCCACUGAAGGCUGCGAUGACACUGAGGAUGCAGCUUCCAACUCUAAACCACCCAGCCUCUAUCGCUGUACACAGAGGCCACUCAGCGACUGCAACUUCCAAUCAGCAGAGACGAAGAAUCAGAGUGAAAACAACUGUGUAACCCAACCACCAAAAAGCAGCAGGCCAAACAGAGCGGACUUGUGUGGCCCCCUCAAAUAUGGCAGAAGCAGAGAGAAAGAGUUUUCCUGGUAAAGGAAAUUGCACUUAAAACUGAAAGCGGAACAUAAACACCAGGGGAAAUAAACACCGGACAGGCUCUGAAAGAAAACACUUCUGGGAAGGAUAUUCCAGCAGGCCCCAGCUUCCUUCGUAGAGGAUGAUUUUAGUUAGUAAGGUAAACCCGUAGGACUAAUAACCAUGUUAACAUCACUGGGAAGAUGACUGGUGAGCAGCACAGAGUUGGAAAAGCAAUCUAAAAUGCAACAGGUGGAAAGCAUUGGUGUGAUGGCAUAUGAAAUGCAGAAUGUUUACUGCAAAGAAACCAUCCUAAAAGCCCACAUCAUUAAAUGUAAUGGGGUGCAGCAAACAUAUGAGGUACAGCCUCGCAGAUUCAGCAGCUUCUUCAACAAAUCCCAGACAGACAGAGAGCGUCUUCUUGGGGUGGUGGCCCUUUUAAUUUGUGUGUGUGUGUGUGUGUGUGUGUGUGUGUGUGUGUGUGUGUGUGUGUGUGUGUGUGUGUGUGUGUGUGUGUGUGUGUGUGUGUGUGUGAGUAAAUCCUUUUACCGGACAUCAAACAAUUGAAGGAAACAUCUGGGACAGAACAUUGGGCAUCGCUGCGUGCCAGGAGUCAGAACACACCUCUUCCAAAGGAGGGCGUUUCUCAAAGGGUCUCAUCUUAGGGUCAAUUGACACCAAACCUCAAAAUCUGUUUCCAAAUGUAUAUGGACUGGAGUCAUGUCAUGGAAUAAACUGUAGUCCUACACAAAAACGUACGUAUUCAUUUAUAAUGACCAAAUUAUACAACUUCACCACAUCCAUGAGUUGGUUCCUAAACAUUGUUAGACGGCCUUAAGCUCCAUAUCUUUCCAUCGGACCAUGACCAUCUCCUGCCUCCUGGUGUUUGUUAUCUGCUCAGACGGCGACGGAUGGAGGAGAACUGUGAACGCAAAACCUCCCGUACCCAACAGCAAGGGAGAAGAGAGGGCUGUCUUUCUGUCCAAGAAGCCAUGCGUCGCAACAGUGUUCGGGCGGGUAGACUGGUCCGCCAAGUACGGUGGCAAUCAUAACCGCUAGCAGGUAGCCUUAGGAUGCUACACUCAGAGGUUGAGAGGUCCUCUUCCAUAUGCACUAUGAUGAAUAAACGCACAGAAAAUUC